rnacentral:rRNA from 1 species
GGUUAGUCCCGCAACGAGCGCAACCCUUAUCUUUAGUAGCCAGCAGUUCGGCUGGGCACUCUAGAGAGACUGCCGGGGAUAACCCGGAGGAAGGUGGGGAUGACGUCAAAUCAUCAUGCCCCUUAUGAUUUGGGCUACACACGUGCUACAAUGGCGUAAACAAAGAGACGCAACCCUGUGAAGGCAAGCAAAUCUCAAAAAUAACGUCUCAGUUCGGAUUGUAGUCUGCAACUCGACUACAUGAAGCUGGAAUCGCUAGUAAUCGCGAAUCAGAAUGUCGCGGUGAAUACGUUCCCGGGUCUU